rnacentral:rRNA from 1 species
AUUGAACGCUGGCGGCAUGCCUAACACAUGCAAGUCGCACGCGAAAGGGGGCAACCCUGAGUAGAGUGGCGGGCGGGGGAGUAACGCGUAGGAAUCUACCUGGUAGUGGGGGACAACCCGGGGAAAAACGGGCUAAUACCGCAUAAGAACCACGGAUGAAAGCAGGGGACCGGAAGGCCCUUCGCUAUCAGAUGAGCCCGAGUCGGAUUAGUUAGUUGGUGGGGUAAAGGCCCACCAAGGCGACGAUCCGUAGCUGGUUUGAGAGAACGACCAGCCACACUGGGACUGAGACACGGCCCAGACUCCUACGGGAGGCAGCAGUGGGGAAUAUUGGACAAUGGGGGCAACCCUGAUCCAGCAAUGCCGCGUGUGUGAAGAAGGCCUUCGGGUUGUAAAGCACUUUCGGUGGGGACAAACAAGGUGGAGCUAACAUCUCCGCCUCUGAUGGUACCCAAAGAAGAAGCACCGGCUAACUCUGUGCCAGCCGCCGCCGUAA